rnacentral:rRNA from 1 species
GACGAACGCUGGCGGCGUGCUUAACACAUGCAAGUCGAACGCUGAAGCCUGGCUUUUGUUGGGUGGAUGAGUGGCGAACGGGUGAGUAACACGUGAGUAACCUGCCCUCUUCUUUGGGAUAACGCCCGGAAACGGGUGCUAAUACUGGAUAUUCACUUGCCUUCGCAUGGGGGUGGGUGGAAAGGGUUUUUUCUGGUGGGGGAUGGGCUCGCGGCCUAUCAGCUUGUUGGUGGGGUGAUGGCUUACCAAGGCUUUGACGGGUAGCCGGCCUGAGAGGGUGACCGGUCACAUUGGGACUGAGAUACAGCCCAGACUCCUACGGGAGGCAGCAGUGGGGAAUAUUGCACAAUGGGCGCAAGCCUGAUGCAGCGACGCCGCGUGAGGGAUGGAGGCCUUCGGGUUGUGAACCUCUUUCGCUCAUGGUCAAGCCGCAACUCAUGGUUGUGGUGAGGGUAGUGGGUAAAGAAGCGCCGGCUAACUACGUGCCAGCAGCCGCGGUAAUACGUAGGGCGCGAGCGUUGUCCGGAAUUAUUGAGCGUAAAGGGCUUGUAGGCGGUUGGUCGCGUCUGCCGUGAAAUCCUCUGGCUUAACUGGGGGCGUGCGGUGGGUACGGGCUGGCUUGAGUGCGGUAGGGGAGACUGGAACUCCUGGUGUAGCGGUGGAAUGCGCAGAUAUCAGGAAGAACACCGGUGGCGAAGGCGGGUCUCUGGGCCGUUACUGACGCUGAGGAGCGAAAGCGUGGGGAGCGAACAGG